UACAGAGGUCUCAAGCGUUUGUUCGGAUUCAUUGGGCGUAAAGGGUGCGUAGGCGGCGCGGUAAGUCGGGUGUGAAAUCUCGGAGCUUAACUCCGAAACUGCAUUCGAUACUGCCGUGCUUGAGGACUGGAGAGGAGACUGGAAUUUACGGUGUAGCGGUGAAAUGCGUAGAUAUCGUAAGGAAGACCAGUGGCGAAGGCGGGUCUCUGGACAGUUCCUGACGCUGAGGCACGGAAGGUCAGGGGGAGCAAACGGG
rnacentral:rRNA from 1 species